CCUACGGGAGGCAGCAGUAGGGAAUCUUCCACAAUGGGCGAAAGCCUGAUGGAGCAACGCCGCGUGAGUGAUGAAGGCCUUCGGGUUGUAAAACUCUGUCAUUCGGGACGAACCGGAGUCUGAGGAAAUGCAGACUCUCUGACGGUACCGGAGGAGGAAGCCCCGGCUAACUACGUGCCAGCAGCCGCGGUAAUACGUAGGGGGCAAGCGUUGUCCGGAUUCACUGGGCGUAAAGCGCGCGCAGGCGGUGAUGUAAGUCUGAGGUGAAAACCCGAAGCUCAACUUCGGGACUGCCUUGGAUACUGCGUCACUUGAGGAUAGGAGAGGCAAGGGGAAUUCCACGUGUAGCGGUGAAAUGCGUAGAGAUGUGGAGGAACACCUGUGGCGAAGGCGCCUUGCUGGCCUAUUUCUGACGCUGAGGCGCGAAAGCGUGGGGAGCAAACAGGAUUAGAUACCCUGGUAGUCCACGCUGUAAACGAUGAGUGCUAGGUGUAGGUGGGCUCAUACCCAUCUGUGCCGAAGCUAACGCAUUAAGCACUCCGCCUGGGGAGUACGGUCGCAAGCUGAAACUUAAUGAAUUGAGG
rnacentral:rRNA from 1 species